GUGGCUAACCGGUUCAGGAAAAAUAAUAUGAAAUUAGUUUUUUAAUGCUUUUUGGAUUUUUGCUAGUUUAUCUCCCCCAUUUACUAAUGUGUAUAACAGAGAUUAUUUCCAGAACAUCGGUCAUAACAAAUCCGAAACUAUUCGUCUUCAUUCCAACAACAACCAAUCUGAAGCAUAUCAUUUUCUUUCUUGAACCAAUAUAGUAAUAAUCUUCUUGGCACACCAUAUUUUUUCCAUAGACUCUUCUAUUUCCCUUCCUCCGCUGCUAC
rnacentral:lncRNA from 1 species